rnacentral:rRNA from 1 species
AUUGAACGCUGGCGGCAUGCUUUACACAUGCAAGUCGAACGGUAACAGGUUAAGCUGACGAGUGGCGAACGGGUGAGUAAUGCAUCGGAACGUGCCCGAUCGUGGGGGAUAACACUUCGAAAGAAGUGCUAAUACCGCAUACGAUCUGAGGAUGAAAGCGGGGGACCGUAAGGCCUCGCGCGAUCGGAGCGGCCGAUGUCAGAUUAGGUAGUUGGUGGGGUAAAGGCUCACCAAGCCGACGAUCUGUAGCUGGUCUGAGAGGACGACCAGCCACACUGGGACUGGGACACGGCCCAGACUCCUACGGGAGGCAGCAGUGGGGAAUUUUGGACAAUGGGCGCAAGCCUGAUCCACCAAUGCCGCGUGCAGGAAGAAGGCCUUCGGGUUGUAAACUGCUUUUGUACGGAGCGAAAAGGCUCCCUCUAAUACAGGGGGCUCAUGACGGUACCGUAAGAAUAAGCACCGGCUAACUACGUGCCAGCCGCCGCGGUAA